rnacentral:rRNA from 1 species
GACGAACGCUGGCGGCGUGCUUAACACAUGCAAGUCGAACGGAAAGGCCCCUUUGGGGGUCCUCGAGUGGCGAACGGGUGAGUAACACGUGAGUAACCUGCCCUUGACUUCGGGAUAACUUCAGGAAACUGGGGCUAAUACCGGAUAGGAAUCCUUGCUGCAUGGUGGGGGUUGGAAAGCUUCGGCGGUUUUGGAUGGACUCGCGGCUUAUCAGCUUGUUGGUGGGGUAGUGGCUUACCAAGGCUUUGACGGAUAGCCGGCCUGAGAGGGCGACCGGCCACAUUGGGACUGAGAUACGGCCCAGACUCCUACGGGAGGCAGCAGUGGGGAAUAUUGCACAAUGGGCGGAAGCCUGAUGCAGCAACGCCGCGGGCGGGAUGACGGCCUUCGGGUUGUAAACCGCUUUCAGCAGGGGCGAAGCUUGUGGUGACGGUACCUGCAGAAGAAGCACCGGCUAACUACGUG